UACGUAGGGGGCAAGUGUUGUCCGGAUUUAUUGGGCGUAAAGAGCGUGUAGGCGGCCAUACAGGUCCGUUGUGAAAACUGGAGGCUUAACCUCCAGACGUCGAUGGAAACCGUAUGGCUAGAGUCCGGAAGAGGAGAGUGGAAUUCCUGGUGUAGCGGUGAAAUGCGCAGAUAUCAGGAGGAACACCAAUGGCGAAGGCAGCACUCUGGGACGUGACUGACGCUGAGACGCGAAAGCGUGGGGAGCAAACAGG
rnacentral:rRNA from 1 species